GGGGAUAUAGCUCAGUUGGUAGAGUGCUUGCCUCACAUGCACAAGGCCCCGAGUUCAAUUUCCAGUACCACCA
rnacentral:tRNA from 1 species